UGGGGAAUUUUCCGCAAUGGGCGCAAGCCUGACGGAGCAAGACCGCGUGGGGGAUGACUGCCUAAUGGUUGUAAACCCCUUUUCUCUGGGAAGAUGAUGACGGUACCAGAGGAAUCAGCCUCGGCUAACUCCGUGCCAGCAGCCGCGGUAAUACGGAGGAGGCAAGCGUUAUCCGGAAUUAUUGGGCGUAAAGCGUCCGUAGGUGGUUGUUCAAGUCUGCUGUCAAAGCGUGGGGCUCAACUCCAUAGAGGCAGUGGAAACUGGGUAACUAGAGUGCGGUAGGGGUCGAGGGAAUUCCCAGUGUAGCGGUGAAAUGCGUAGAUAUUGGGAAGAACACCAGUGGCGAAAGCGCUCGACUGGGCCUGCACUGACACUGAGGGACGAAAGCUAGGGGAGCGAAAGGGAUUAGAUACCCCCGUAGUCC
rnacentral:rRNA from 1 species